UACGUAGGGGGCAAGCGUUGUCCGGAAUUAUUGGGCGUAAAGAGCGUGUAGGCGGCCAGAUAAGUCCGCUGUGAAAUCUCGAGGCUCAACUUCGAGCUGUCGGUGGAAACUAUCUGGCUAGAGUCCGGAAGAGGAGAAUGGAAUUCCUGGUGUAGCGGUGAAAUGCGCAGAUAUCAGGAAGAACACCCGUGGCGAAGGCGGAUCUCUGGGCCUGUUCUGACGCUGAGGCGCGAAAGCUAGGGGAGCGAACAGG
rnacentral:rRNA from 1 species